CAGAUGGGAAAGAAAAUCACUUUGUGUUAUGCGAUUCUUUCAACAGGUUUAUCUAUUAUGAGAUUGCGUAAAAUGAAGUCGAUGGUCAAAACUUCCCGCGUGAAAUCACUGAGCACGGGGAAGUUCGCAGGUUUCCAGUAAUCCACGACGUGCCAGCUGGACAGGGGCAGACCCAAGAAGCAAUCGCCUUCGGUAAAUCACACGCUUGGCAAGAAGCGAGAUUUUCCGAGGACGCGCUAAUUGCGCUCCUCUGCGUCUGGGGAUGCUUACGAAAAGGAUUAUCUAGGAGCAUCGUUAGGAGCGACUUUCUUCGAGAAAGCACCUCUCUGUUUAAUAUAUCAACGUCGGAACGGCACCGGAAAUGGCAUCUGCCCGUCUUCACUUCCGGUGACGCAAGAACCCCACAGCAAGCCACCAGGACUGCCGUGUGCCCCCUUACCCUCUGCCUGUAAUUCUGUGCAGCAUUAGGCAUACGGAAACACAUACCGCGAGCGACACGUUCGAAGUGUGUUUGCCGAUGGAGAGCGAACAGACGACGUCUCCUCUUUGUUGCACAAAAGUAUUGUGAUCAAAUGUAAGCGGCAUGACAGGGUACGCGUCAUCGGACGCCAGUGCACCGAACGAAAACGGAAAAUGGCUUUUACGUUUUGCUUCAACUCCACCGUUUCCCAAGCUGCGCAGAGAUUUCCAGCGUAGAAAAAGUGGUAAUGUCCUGUGCUGUAGCUUAAGAACUCUUUCACUACUUGUAGACGCUUACUCGUACACCAUUAACAAGGACUGACCUGCAGUGCCACGUUACGACAUAUCUCAUAAAUUAUUCAACAAAAAGAGCAACACAUUCGUACACGUUGAUGCAAAUGAAGUAGUAAUAAUGUUGGAAACAAUAGUAGGUUACCUUCUAACGUUUCCAUUAUCUAUGUCUACGCAGUAACUAAAACAAUUAUG